rnacentral:rRNA from 1 species
ACGGGUGAGUAACACGUGGGUGAUCUGCCCUGCACUUCGGGAUAAGCCUGGGAAACUGGGUCUAAUACCGGAUAUGACCUCAGGCUGCAUGACUUGGGGUGGAAAGAUUUAUCGGUGCAGGAUGGGCCCGCGGCCUAUCAGCUUGUUGGUGGGGUAAUGGCCUACCAAGGCGACGACGGGUAGCCGACCUGAGAGGGUGACCGGCCACACUGGGACUGAGACACGGCCCAGACUCCUACGGGAGGCAGCAGUGGGGAAUAUUGCACAAUGGGCGAAAGCCUGAUGCAGCGACGCCGCGUGAGGGAUGACGGCCUUCGGGUUGUAAACCUCUUUCAGCAGGGACGAAGCGCAAGUGACGGUACCUGCAGAAGAAGCACCGGCUAACUACGUGCCAGCAGCCGCGGUAAUACGUAGGGUGCAAGCGUUGUCCGGAAUUACUGGGCGUAAAGAGUUCGUAGGCGGUUUGUCGCGUCGUUUGUGAAAACCAGCAGCUCAACUGCUGGCUUGCAGGCGAUACGGGCAGACUUGAGUACUGCAGGGGAGACUGGAAUUCCUGGUGUAGCGGUGAAAUGCGCAGA